AAUAGCUGAAGUCUGACUGUUGAUUUGAACAACAAAGUCAUAUCCACCUUUGUAAGGAGAACUUUUACACAGCUGAGAAGAAAGACAUGACCGCACCUUGUAACCCCAAUAAUGACCACCUUUUUCUCGUGGAGCUGAAAAAGACACGAUAUCACCUUGAAGCUGGCCUUCUUCGUUUGGAGACUGCGCUUUUAAUCGAACCGUGACCCUUGUUCUAGGAGCAAGGACG